UAAUGUAUGGGGGUCUGCCCGAUAGAGGGGGGUAACUACUGGAAACGGUGGCUAAUACCGCAUAAUGUCUACGGACCAAAGCAGGGGCUCUUCGGACCUUGCACUAUCGGAUGAACCCAUAUGGGAUUAGCUAGUAGGUGGGGUAAAGGCUCACCUAGGCGACGAUCUCUAGCUGGUCUGAGAGGAUGAUCAGCCACACUGGGACUGAGACACGGCCCAG
rnacentral:rRNA from 1 species